rnacentral:rRNA from 1 species
GGUGAACCUGCGGAAGGAUCAUUGUCGAAACCUGCCCAGCAGAACGACCAGCGAACAUGUUUAACUCUCUCGGGCGUCGGGGAGAUGUGGGCAGCAUUGUGCUCCUACUUCCCCCGUGCUCGAGCCGGGGUUGUGGCCCCUUGUGGGCUCUUCCUUGGCCUCUCAACGAACCCCGACGCGAAAAGCGUCAAGGAACAUAAACUACAUAUGUGCUCCCUCCUGCCGCCCGGUUAGCCGGCGUGGGGGCGGUGCCAUGUCAUAACAUUAAACGACUCUCGGCAACGGAUAUCUCGGCUCUCGCAUCGAUGAAGAACGUAGCGAAAUGCGAUACUUGGUGUGAAUUGCAGAAUCCCGUGAACCAUCGAGUCUUUGAACGCAAGUUGCGCCCGAGGCCUUUGGUCGAGGGCACGUCUGCCUGGGCGUCACGCAUCGCAACCCCCCAACCCACCCUGUGUGGGAUGGGGAGGAAGAUGGCUUCCCGUGCCUCACCGGGCGCGGUUGGCCUAAAUUCGGAGCCUAAGGCAUCGAGUUGCCGCGGCUAUAGGUGGUGAACAAGGCCUUGGCCGUGUAAACAACCGGCCGUGCUUCCCGUUGACGGUAAGUGCUCGUAGGACCCUUUGAUGUCGCAUCUAUACGACACAAACGUUGCGACCCCAGGUCAGGCGGGGCUA